rnacentral:rRNA from 1 species
AGCUUGCACAGGCGCUGCAUGGCUGUCGUCAGCUCGUGUCGUGAGAUGUUCGGUUAAGUCCGCUAACGAGCGCAACCCUCGUCGUGUGUUAUACGUGUCACACGAUACUGCCGGUAAAAGCCGGAGGAAGGUGAGGAUGAUGUCAAGUCAGCAUGACCUUUAUAUCCAGGGCUACACACACGCUACAAUGGUCUGUACAAUGGGUAGCCAAGCCGCGAGGCGGAGCCAAUCCUGAAAGCGGGCCUCAGUUCAGAUUGCAGUCUGCAACUCGACUGCAUGAAGCCGGAGUUGCUAGUAACCGCGGAUCAGAAUGCCGCGGUGAAUGCGUUCCCGGGUCUU